rnacentral:sRNA from 16 species
AGGUCUGUAGAAGAAGUGCUUGGGGUCGAAACACGGCCAGACUCCCAGGUACUUUUUC